GGUAAAAUGGCUGAAUUAGGCAAUAAAUUGUAAAUUUAUUUAUGAAAAUUAAUAAUUUUCUUUUAUCA
rnacentral:tRNA from 1 species